GGUGAACGCUAGCGGUGCGCCUAACACAUGCAAGUCGAGCGGUAGAAUUAAUAUUGAGUCUUCGGAUGAUUUAUUGAUUUGAGAGCGGCGAACGGGUGAGUAACACGUUGGUAUCUGCCCCCAAGUCAGGGAUAGCCAUUGGAAACGAUGAUUAAUACCGGAUAGUCUCUUCGGAGUAAAGAUUUAUUGCUUGGGGAGGAGCCUGCGUUCUAUCAGCUAGUUGGUAGUGUAAAAGACUACCAAGGCUAUGACGGAUACCUGGUCUGAGAGGAUGAUCAGGCACAAUGGAACUGAGACACGGUCCAU
rnacentral:rRNA from 1 species